rnacentral:rRNA from 1 species
UACGUAGGGGGCAAGCGUUGUCCGGAUUUACUGGGCGUAAAGAGCGUGUAGGCGGCCAUGCAGGUCUGUUGUGAAAACUGGAGGCUCAACUUCCAGACGUCGACAGAAACCGCGUGGCUAGAGUCCGGAAGAGGAGAGUGGAAUUCCUGGUGUAGCGGUGAAAUGCGCAGAUAUCAGGAAGAACACCGAUGGCGAAGGCAGCUCUCUGGGACGGUACUGACGCUGAGACGCGAAAGCGUGGGGAGCGAACAGG